rnacentral:rRNA from 1 species
GCAUAUCAAUAAGCGGAGGAAAAGAAACCAACAGGGAUUGCCUCAGUAACGGCGAGUGAAGCGGCAACAGCUCAAAUUUGAAAUCUGGCCUCUCGAGGUCCGAGUUGUAAUUUGUAGAGGAUGUUUCGGGUACCGCCUCGGUUUAAAUUUCUUGGAACAGAAUGUCAGAGAGGGUGAGAAUCCCGUCUUGGACCGGUGGUAGGGCCUAUGUGAAACUCCUUCGACGAGUCGAGUUGUUUGGGAAUGCAGCUCAAAAUGGGUGGUAAAUUUCAUCUAAAGCUAAAUAUUGGCCAGAGACCGAUAGCGCACAAGUAGAGUGAUCGAAAGAUGAAAAGCACUUUGAAAAGAGAGUUAAACAGUAUGUGAAAUUGUUGAAAGGGAAGCGCUUGCAACCAGACUUGAGCGCGGCGGUUCCCCCUCGCUUCUGCUUGGGUUACUCCGCCGUGUCCAGGCCAACAUCGGUUCUAGGGGUCGGUCAAAGGCCCUGGGAAUGUAUCUACCUACGGGUAGACUUAUAGACCAGGGUGCCAUGCGACCUCCCGGGACCGAGGAACGCGCUUCGGCUCGGAUGUUGGCGUAAUGGUUGUCAGCGACCCGUCUUGAAACACGGACC